rnacentral:rRNA from 1 species
CGCGGUGGUCCCACCUGACCCCAUGCCGAACUCAGAAGUGAAACGUCGUAGCGCCGAUGGUAGUGUGGGGUCUCCCCAUGUGAGAGUAGGGAACUGCCAGGC